GACGUAGGGCGCGAGCGUUGUCCGGAUUUAUUGGGCGUAAAGAGCUCGUAGGCGGCUUGUCGCGUCGAAUGUGAAAACCUGCAGCUCAACUGCAGGCUUGCAUUCGAUACGGGCAGGCUCGAGUUCGGUAGGGGAGACUGGAAUUCCUGGUGUAGCGGUGAAAUGCGCAGAUAUCAGGAGGAACACCGGUGGCGAAGGCAGGUCUCUGGGCAUUAACUGACGCUGAGGAGCGAAAGCAUGGGGGAGCGAACAGG
rnacentral:rRNA from 1 species